rnacentral:rRNA from 1 species
AUUGAACGCUGGCGGCAGGCCUAACACAUGCAAGUCGAGCGGAUGACAGGAGCUUGCUCCUGGAUUCAGCGGCGGACGGGUGAGUAAUGCCUAGGAAUCUGCCUGGUAGUGGGGGACAACGUUUCGAAAGGAACGCUAAUACCGCAUACGUCCUACGGGAGAAAGCAGGGGACCUUCGGGCCUUGCGCUAUCAGAUGAGCCUAGGUCGGAUUAGCUAGUUGGUGAGGUAAUGGCUCACCAAGGCGACGAUCCGUAACUGGUCUGAGAGGAUGAUCAGUAACACUGGAACUGAGAAACGGUCCAGAGUCCUACGGGAGGCAGCAGUGGGGAAUAUUGGACAAUGGGCGAAAGCCUGAUCCAGCCAUGCCGCGUGUGUGAAGAAGGUCUUCGGAUUGUAAAGCACUUUAAGUUGGGAGGAAGGGUUGUAGAUUAAUACUCUGCAAUUUUGACGUUACCGACAGAAUAAGCACCGGCUAACUCUGUGCCAGCCGCCGCCGUAAAAC